rnacentral:rRNA from 1 species
GACGUAGGGGGCCAGCGUUGCUCGGAAUUACUGGGCGUAAAGGGUUCGUAGGCGGCCAACUAAGUCAUACGUGAAAUCCCUCGGCUUAACCGGGGAACUGCGUCUGAUACUGGAUGGCUUGAGUUCGGGAGAGGGAUGCGGAAUUCCAGGUGUAGCGGUGAAAUGCGUAGAUAUCUGGAGGAACAUCGGUGGCGAAGGCGGCAUCCUGGACCGAUACUGACGCUGAGGAGCGAAAGCCAGGGGAGCAAACGGG